rnacentral:rRNA from 1 species
UGGAUCAGAACGAAGGCUGGCGGCAGGCUUAACACAUGCAAGUCGAACGGUAACAGGAAACAGCUUGUUGUUUCGCUGACGAGUGGCGGACGGGUGAGUAAUGUCUGGGAAACUGCAUGAUGGAGGGGGAUAAGUACUGGAAACGGUAGCUAAUACCGCAUAACGUCCGCAAGACCAAAGAGGGGGACCCUCGGGCCUCUUGCCAUCGGAUGUGCCCAGAUGGGAUUAGCUUGUUGGUGGGGUAACGGCUCACCAAGGUGACGAUCCCUAGCUGGUAUGAGAGGAUGACCAGCCACACUGGAAUUGAGACACGGUCCAGGAUCNUACGGGAGGCA